rnacentral:rRNA from 1 species
AACGAACGCUGGCGGCAGGCUUAACACAUGCAAGUCGAACGAGAUCUUCGGAUCUAGUGGCAGACGGGUGAGGAACACGUGGGAACAUCCCUUUCAGUUCGGAAUAACGUUGGGAAACUAACGCUAAUACCGGAUACGUCCUUCGGGAGAAAGAUUUAUCGCUGAAAGAUUGGCCCGCGUCUGAUUAGCUAGUUGGUGAGGUAAUGGCUCACCAAGGCUACGAUCAGUAGCUGAUCUGAGAGGAUGAUCAGCCACAUUGGGACUGGGACACGGCGCAAACUCCUAGGGGAGGCAGCAGUGGGGAAUAUUGGACAAUGGGCGAAAGCCUGAUCCGGCCAUGCCGCGUGAGUGAUGAAGGCCUUCGGGUUGUAAAGCUCUUUUAUCCGGGAAGAUAAUGACUGUACCGGAAGAAUAAGCCCCGGCAAACUGCGUGCCAGCCGCCGCGGUAG